rnacentral:rRNA from 1 species
GACGAACGCUGGCGGCGCGCCUAACACAUGCAAGUCGAACGAGCGAGAGAGAGCUUGCUUUCUCGAGCGAGUGGCGAACGGGUGAGUAACGCGUGAGGAACCUGCCUCAAAGAAGGGGACAACAGUUGGAAACGACUGCUAAUACCGCAUAAGCCCACGGGUCGGCAUCGACCAGAGGGAAAAGGAGCAAUCCGCUUUGAGAUGGCCUCGCGUCCGAUUAGCUAGUUGGUGAGGUAAUGGCCCACCAAGGCGACGAUCGGUAGCCGGACUGAGAGGUUGAACGGCCACAUUGGGACUGAGACACGGCCCAGACUCCUACGGGAGGCAGCAGUGGGGAAUAUUGCACAAUGGGGGAAACCCUGAUGCAGCGACGCCGCGUGGAGGAAGAAGGUCUUCGGAUUGUAAACUCCUGUUGUUGGGGAAGAUAAUGACGGUACCCAACAAGGAAGUGACGGCUAACUACGUG